AUGAACGCUGGCGGCGUGCUUAACACAUGCAAGUCGAACGAAGCACUUAUGACAGAUUCUUCGGAUGAUGGAUUAAGUGACUGAGUGGCGGACGGGUGAGUAACGCGUGGGUAACCUGCCUCAUACAGGGGGAUAACAGUUAGAAAUGACUGCUAAUACCGCAUAAGCGCACAGUACCGCAUGGUACAGUGUGAAAAACUCCGGUGGUAUGAGAUGGACCCGCGUCUGAUUAGCUAGUUGGUGGGGUAACGGCCCACCAAGGCGACGAUCAGUAGCCGACCUGAGAGGGUGACCGGCCACAUUGGGACUGAGACACGGCCCAAACUCCUACGGGAGGCAGCAGUGGGGAAUAUUGCACAAUGGGCGAAAGCCUGAUGCAGCGACGCCGCGUGAGCGAAGAAGUAUUUCGGUAUGUAAAGCUCUAUCAGCAGGGAAGAAAAUGACGGUACCUGACUAAGAAGCACUGGCUAAAUACGUG
rnacentral:rRNA from 1 species